rnacentral:lncRNA from 1 species
UCUCUUCUCUCUUUUCUUUUUCUUCUCUAUUUUCUCUCUUUUUUCGACGACGACGUCACUGCUGUUACCGCUCCCUUCUUUUAUUUUCUCUUCUCUUUUUCUCUCUUUUUUUUUCCUCUUUAUUUUCUCUCUUUUUUUGUCUUUUUCGGCCUCUCUAUUUUCUGUCCUCUUUUUCUUCCUCUAUCUCGCCGGUGGCGGCUCCCGGUGGCGGCUGCCGCCACCAUCUGUUCCCGUUCCACGGUCAAAGGAACGAAAAAGAAGAAAAAAAUGUAUAAUUAUAAACCAUUUCACCUACUCAUGCUUUUUUCUGUUUUUACUUCGAUCUCGGCUUGCAUAUCGUCUGCAAAUCUCGAUCUGUAAAUCUAGGAUUUGAGGUUUUGGGUUUUUAUGGUUUUUCUCUGAGUUUAGUUGUCUUUAUCUUGAUUUUUAUUUUCAGUAGAGUUGAGGAUCGGUGAAAAAAGAAGAGAAAUAAUAAUAAAAAAUCUCGCCGCCAACGUGACUGAUGGUCGGAGAUGAAACAGACAGAGAGGGGAAAAAGAAGUCAGGUAAAAGCAUUAUCUUAAUCUUUUGAUGAAAUUCCUAUUUGGCUGAAACUAAAAGAAAUAUGUUGGUUUCUGCAUUGAUUUUUAAGUGCUGAAAUUAGAGAAACCUUGAUAUUAUAGAUUAGAAUCAAAAUACAAGUAUUUUACAUGAGUGUUACUAUGCCACAUUUGCUAUGAAUAUAAAUGAUGAUCGACUGUAUGAGAAUACAAUGCGGCGACUCCGCUGUAUGAGAGUAACCACUUAUGUGUUUAAUACAAUGCUUAGGAAAUGAAAGACGAAAUACGUACAUUACUUAGUAGUGUUAAGCGUUAGUGUUAGCGCACAUAGAUAAGUAAAAGUUAAAUGUAUAGUCACUAGAUUUAUGGAAACCUAUGGAAAUAGGUUCCUCAUAUACAAGAAUAUCGAUAGAAAUAGUUGAACUUCAAAACAAAAGGUUUCAAAACUCAAGUACUUAUAUGGAUUUCCGCAUAUAUACGUGAAACCCAAACUGUUUAUGAUGUGCUUACUCCACUACUAACUCAUUACUGUUUUUUUUUGUUCUUUUGGUUCUUUGGCAAAGGUAGAGGUGGAGGGAAGUGCAUUGGUGAAGGAAGAAGAAAAGGAAUGAUAGAAAACUCUUUGAGAAUGUCAGAAAAUUUUAGAGUUUGGAAAACUUUAGAGGAUAUAGAGAGAUUGGAGAGUUUGAGAUUAGAGUUAGUGACUGCAUUUUGUUUUGGAGACUAUAGGAGUGCUUAUUUUUUUCCUAAUUGUUGCUGUUAGAUGUUCAUUUAUAGGAAAGAAGGUGAUGAUGGCGAUGCAAGGGAGGGGUGAGGUGUUGACACGUGGGGGAAGACUAGUCUAGGUCAAAAAUUUUGUAAAAUUUAAUACUUUUUUUUAAGUUUCGUCCAUUUAUUUUUAAUUAAAAUUCUAAAAUUCGAAGCGGGUCCAAACCA